CACUGUAUUAUACUGACCUGCAAAAAUCCAAUCGUGUCUGAGUUCAGAAGCUAAGCAGGGUCCAGCCUGGUGAGUGCAUGAAUAGGAGACCACAUAGGAAUACAUACCAGCAAUUCCAGGUA
rnacentral:rRNA from 1 species